AUUCGACGUUUCGACCUGAGGCAGGUCUUCGUCAGGAAUGACGAAGACCUGCCUCAGGUCGAAACGUCGAAU
rnacentral:pre_miRNA from 1 species